rnacentral:rRNA from 1 species
GACGAACGCUGGCGGCGUGCUUAACACAUGCAAGUCGAACGGUAAGGCCCUUCGGGGUACACGAGUGGCGAACGGGUGAGUAACACGUGGGUGAUCUGCCCUGCACUUCGGGAUAAGCCUGGGAAACUGGGUCUAAUACCGGAUAGGACCACUGCCUGCAUGGGUGGUGGUGGAAAGCUUUUGCGGUGUGGGAUGGGCCCGCGGCCUAUCAGCUUGUUGGUGGGGUGAUGGCCUACCAAGGCGACGACGGGUAGCCGGCCUGAGAGGGUGACCGGCCACACUGGGACUGAGAUACGGCCCAGACUCCUACGGGAGGCAGCAGUGGGGAGUAUUGCACAAUGGGCGCAGGCCUGAUGCAGCGACGCCGCGUGAGGGAUGACGGCCUUCGGGUUGUAAACCUCUUUCAGCACCGACGAAGCGCAAGUGACGGUAGGUGCAGAAGAAGGACCGGCCAACUACGUGCCAGCCGCCGCAGUAA